AAGUCGUAACAAGGUUUCCGUAGGUGAACCUGCGGAAGGAUCAUUAACACGUAUCCAAACGUUAAACCCCCCUGUGAACCUUCACCUGUACUCGUACGUCCGUUAGAAAAAGCAGCAAUCCCUGGUAAAUCAUCGCCGAACAGUUUUCGAUUCAGGGACGUCUGCAAGGAGCGUGCUGGCAUCCCCAAGCAGUUAGUGUCUGAAAGUGUCAUUACCUGUGUAAGGAUGACGCAGUCACGAUCGUUGGAGGCCCACACGGCCGACGACCGGGUCGCUGGGCGCAAGCCCCCCUAUAACAAACCCCCUGCCAAUCGCGGCCGCGAUAAUACGCAGUCGACCAAAAACCGAACAACUGUUAACAAUGGAUAUCUUGGUUCUC
rnacentral:misc_RNA from 1 species